rnacentral:rRNA from 1 species
GACGAAGGGGGCUAGCGUUGUUCGGAAUUACUGGGCGUAAAGCGCGUGUAGGCGGUUGCCAUAGUCAGGUGUGAAAGCCUUGAGCUCAACUCAAGAAAUGCACUUGAUACUGGGCGACUAGAGGACCGGAGAGGAUAGUGGAAUUCCCAGUGUAGUGGUGAAAUACGUAGAGAUUGGGAAGAACACCAGUGGCGAAGGCGGCUCUCUGGGACGGUACUGACGCUGAGACGCGAAAGCGUGGGGAGCGAACAGG